CCUACGGGAGGCAGCAGUGGGGAAUAUUGCACAAUGGGCGCAAGCCUGAUGCAGCCAUGCCGCGUGUGUGAAGAAGGCCUUCGGGUUGUAAAGCACUUUCAGCGGGGAGGAAGGCGUUAAGGUUAAUAACCUUGUCGAUUGACGUUACCCGCAGAAGAAGCACCGGCUAACUCCGUGCCAGCAGCCGCGGUAAUACGGAGGGUGCAGGCGUUAAUCGGAAUUACUGGGCGUAAAGCGCACGCAGGCGGUCUGUCAAGUCGGAUGUGAAAUCCCCGGGCUCAACCUGGGAACUGCAUUCGAAACUGGCAGGCUAGAGGCUUGUAGAGGGGGGUAGAAUUCCAGGUGUAGCGGUGAAAUGCGUAGAGAUCUGGAGGAAUACCGGUGGCGAAGGCGGCCCCCUGGACAAAGACUGACGCUCAGGUGCGAAAGCGUGGGGAGCAAACAGGAUUAGAUACCCUGGUAGUC
rnacentral:rRNA from 1 species